rnacentral:rRNA from 1 species
AACGAACGCUGGCGGCAUGCCUAACACAUGCAAGUCGAACGAAGGCUUCGGCCUUAGUGGCGCACGGGUGCGUAACGCGUGGGAACCUGCCCCUCGGUUCGGAAUAACAGUUAGAAAUGACUGCUAAUACCGGAUGAUGACUUCGGUCCAAAGAUUUAUCGCCGAGGGAUGGGCCCGCGUAGGAUUAGCUAGUUGGUGGGGUAAAGGCCUACCAAGGCGACGAUCCUUAGCUGGUCUGAGAGGAUGACCAGCCACACUGGGACUGAGACACGGCCCAGACUCCUACGGGAGGCAGCAGUGGGGAAUAUUGGACAAUGGGCGAAAGCCUGAUCCAGCAAUGCCGCGUGAGUGAUGAAGGCCUUAGGGUUGUAAAGCUCUUUUACCAGGGAUGAUAAUGACAGUACCUGGAGAAUAAGCUCCGGCUAACUCCGUG